CAGUUCUUGCACUGUGCAUUUGGUCAUUUCCAACAAGUAUAUGAAGGAUGUCCAUUUUUCCACAUUGCUAUUAAGGUCUCCUUUGUUCCUCAGCCUGCAAAGAAUUUAACAGUUCUGCCAAGAUUCGAUUCUGAGUAGGAGCAUAUCUCGUGGAGAAAUUCGAGUCCAAGUUUUAAGUGUCUUGGAGUUGUGGUGAGCUGUUUGGUUGUUUCGUGGCCCACACCUCCCUUUAUCUUUUACAUAUUCUGUCAUUUAGUAUUCAGACAGGGUAUUUCUUAUGUUUGAUUUGUCAUUUUAGUAUCAGACUUGCAUUGUAUUAUAGAACCUCUUGUACUUAUGAUACCAAAUCUUGGGUGGU